CCUACGGGAGGCAGCAGUGAGGAAUAUUGGUCAAUGGACGAGAGUCUGAACCAGCCAAGUAGCGUGAAGGAUGACUGCCCUCUGGGUUGUAAACUUCUUUUAUAAAGGAAUAAAACGAGGCACGUGUGCCUUUUUGCAUGUACUUUAUGAAUAAGGAUCGGCUAACUCCGUGCCAGCAGCCGCGGUAAUACGGAGGAUCCGAGCGUUGUCCGGAUUUAUUGGGUUUAAAGGGAGCGUAGAUGGGUUGGUAAGUCAGGUGUGAAAGUUUGCGGCUCAACCGUAAGAUUGCAAUUGAUACUGGCAGUCUUGAGUAAAGUUGAGGGAGGCGGAAUUCGUGGUGUAGCGGUGAAAUGCUUAGAUAUCACGAAGAACCCCGAUGGCGAAGGCAGCUUACUAAACUGUGACUGACAUUGAGGCACGAAAGUGUGGGUAUCAAACAGGAUUAGAUACCCCAGUAGUC
rnacentral:rRNA from 1 species